rnacentral:tRNA from 1 species
GCGCCACUAGCUCAGCUGGAUAGAGCGACGGCCUCCGGAGCCGUAGGUCGCAGGUUCGACUCCUGCGUGGCGCG